rnacentral:rRNA from 1 species
AGCGAACGCUGGCGGCAGGCCUAACACAUGCAAGUCGAACGAACUCUUCGGAGUUAGUGGCGGACGGGUGAGUAACACGUGGGAACGUGCCUUUAGGUUCGGAAUAACUCAGGGAAACUCGUGCUAAUACCGAAUGUGCCCUUCGGGGGAAAGAUUUAUCGCCUUUAGAGCGGCCCGCGUCUGAUUAGCUAGUUGGUGAGGUAACGGCUCACCAAGGCGACGAUCAGUAGCUGGCCUGAGAGGAUGACCAGCCACACUGGGACUGAGACACGGCCCAGACUCCUACGGGAGGCAGCAGUGGGGAAUCUUGCGCAAUGGGCGAAAGCCUGACGCAGCCAUGCCGCGUGAAUGAUGAAGGUCUUAGGAUUGUAAAAUUCUUUCACCGGGGACGAUAAUGACGGUACCCGGAGAAGAAGCCCCGGCUAACUUCGUGCCAGCCGCCGCCGUAAAAC